UGUGUGUUAGUGGAAGCGUCUGGAAAGGCGCGCGAUACAGGGUGACAGCCCCGUACACAAAAAUGCACAUGCUGUGAGCUCGAUGAGUAGGGCGGGACACGUGGUAUCCUGUCUGAAUAUGGGGGGACCAUCCUCCAAGGCUAAAUACUCCUGACUGACCGAUAGUGAACCAGUACCGUGAGGGAAAGGCGAAAAGAACCCCGGCGAGGGGAGUGAAAAAGAACCUGAAACCGUGUACGUACAAGCAGUGGGAGCACGCUUAGGCGUGUGACUGCGUACCUUUUGUAUAAUGGGUCAGCGACUUAUAUUCUGUAGCAAGGUUAACCGAAUAGGGGAGCCGAAGGGAAACCGAGUCUUAACUGGGCGUUAAGUUGCAGGGUAUAGACCCGAAACCCGGUGAUCUAGCCAUGGGCAGGUUGAAGGUUGGGUAACACUAACUGGAGGACCGAACCGACUAAUGUUGAAAAAUUAGCGGAUGACUUGUGGCUGGGGGUGAAAGGCCAAUCAAACCGGGAGAUAGCUGGUUCUCCCCGAAAGCUAUUUAGGUAGCGCCUCGUGAAUUCAUCUCCGGGGGUAGAGCACUGUUUCGGCAAGGGGGUCAUCCCGACUUACCAACCCGAUGCAAACUGCGAAUACCGGAGAAUGUUAUCACGGGAGACACACGGCGGGUGCUAACGUCCGUCGUGAAGAGGGAAACAACCCAGACCGCCAGCUAAGGUCCCAAAGUCAUGGUUAAGUGGGAAACGAUGUGGGAAGGCCCAGACAGCCAGGAUGUUGGCUUAGAAGCAGCCAUCAUUUAAAGAAAGCGUAAUAGCUCACUGGUCGAGUCGGCCUGCGCGGAAGAUGUAACGGGGCUAAACCAUGCACCGAAGCUGCGGCAGCGACACUGUGUGUUGUUGGGUAGGGGAGCGUUCUGUAAGCCUGUGAAGGUGUGCUGUGAGGCAUGCUGGAGGUAUCAGAAGUGCGAAUGCUGACAUAAGUAACGAUAAAGCGGGUGAAAAGCCCGCUCGCCGGAAGACCAAGGGUUCCUGUCCAACGUUAAUCGGGGCAGGGUGAGUCGACCCCUAAGGCGAGGCCGAAAGGCGUAGUCGAUGGGAAACAGGUUAAUAUUCCUGUACUUGGUGUUACUGCGAAGGGGGGACGGAGAAGGCUAUGUUGGCCGGGCGACGGUUGUCCCGGUUUAAGCGUGUAGGCUGGUUUUCCAGGCAAAUCCGGAAAAUCAAGGCUGAGGCGUGAUGACGAGGCACUACGGUGCUGAAGCAACAAAUGCCCUGCUUCCAGGAAAAGCCUCUAAGCAUCAGGUAACAUCAAAUCGUACCCCAAACCGACACAGGUGGUCAGGUAGAGAAUACCAAGGCGCUUGAGAGAACUCGGGUGAAGGAACUAGGCAAAAUGGUGCCGUAACUUCGGGAGAAGGCACGCUGAUAUGUAGGUGAAGUCCCUUGCGGAUGGAGCUGAAAUCAGUCGAAGAUACCAGCUGGCUGCAACUGUUUAUUAAAAACACAGCACUGUGCAAACACGAAAGUGGACGUAUACGGUGUGACGCCUGCCCGGUGCCGGAAGGUUAAUUGAUGGGGUCAGCGCAAGCGAAGCUCUUGAUCGAAGCCCCGGUAAACGGCGGCCGUAACUAUAACGGUCCUAAGGUAGCGAAAUUCCUUGUCGGGUAAGUUCCGACCUGCACGAAUGGCGUAAUGAUGGCCAGGCUGUCUCCACCCGAGACUCAGUGAAAUUGAACUCGCUGUGAAGAUGCAGUGUACCCGCGGCAAGACGGAAAGACCCCGUGAACCUUUACUAUAGCUUGACACUGAACAUUGAGCCUUGAUGUGUAGGAUAGGUGGGAGGCUUAGAAGUGUGGACGCCAGUCUGCAUGGAGCCGACCUUGAAAUACCACCCUUUAAUGUUUGAUGUUCUAACGUUGACCCGUAAUCCGGGUUGCGGACAGUGUCUGGUGGGUAGUUUGACUGGGGCGGUCUCCUCCUAAAGAGUAACGGAGGAGCACGAAGGUUGGCUAAUCCUGGUCGGACAUCAGGAGGUUAGUGCAAUGGCAUAAGCCAGCUUGACUGCGAGCGUGACGGCGCGAGCAGGUGCGAAAGCAGGUCAUAGUGAUCCGGUGGUUCUGAAUGGAAGGGCCAUCGCUCAACGGAUAAAAGGUACUCCGGGGAUAACAGGCUGAUACCGCCCAAGAGUUCAUAUCGACGGCGGUGUUUGGCACCUCGAUGUCGGCUCAUCACAUCCUGGGGCUGAAGUAGGUCCCAAGGGUAUGGCUGUUCGCCAUUUAAAGUGGUACGCGAGCUGGGUUUAGAACGUCGUGAGACAGUUCGGUCCCUAUCUGCCGUGGGCGCUGGAGAACUGAGGGGGGCUGCUCCUA
rnacentral:rRNA from 1 species